GCUGGGCACAGUGGCGUGUGCCUGUAGUCCCAGCUACUCAGGAGGCUGAGGUGGGAGGAUCACUUGAGCCCAGGAAGUCAAGGCUGCAGUGAGCUGUGAUCACGCCACUGCACUCUAGCCUGGGUCACAGAGUGAGACCUUGUUUCAA
rnacentral:SRP_RNA from 1 species